CCCAAGGGGCGUUGACAUCAUCCUGGUUCCUGGCUGAGCUUCGGUUUGAUGCUAACAAAUAAUGACACGGCAAUUUGCAGAUUUCACAGCACGCCUUUCAGAGCGCGGGGGGCAUGCACAAGCCUGUUGGGCGUAGCCACUUCGCCCAGCUUUUAGCCCCAGUUCCACAUCCAGCUGAUAUCAGUGGCAAGUCCGAGGUGGUUGAUGCUUUGUCUGCAUGGCCGGCAGUGAUGCCGACUUCAGGAUUUACAAAAAAGCUAUAGCUACAAAAUGUUCAUUUUCUCAUCACUCGUGCAAGGACCGCCUGCCAGUGUCAGUUGGCUAAGAGUCCUGCUGAGAGGAGCAAAAUCAAUUCGUCGACAACGUUUUGGGCUUAAAAAGCUUGACAGCCGCAUCUCGUUCCUGGCAGCUGGUGGUCCAAAGUCCGAGUUCGAGGUCCGGACUCAAGUUUACACUCACUUACCGACGAGUGGGGCGGCGUACGACCUCCUGCCAGCUUUCCUGUCAAAUUUUGUCACUGGGCGGGGCAGAGUUUGUUGAGGACUUUCUUCAGCCGACUGCAUGAUUGAUGGCUCAAGUUCCCAGAUUGGAAUUGAUUUCCAUUCAAAUUUAAAACAUAUUUGGUGUUUAAUGUCUAAGUAGGUUGAAAGUAAACGCACAUAUUCCCUUUAAAAUAAGUUGAUUGUAUAGCUGUACUUUAUUUUUG